rnacentral:rRNA from 1 species
UACGUAGGGAGCAAGCGUUGUCCGGAAUCAUUGGGCGUAAAGCGCGCGUAGGUGGCUCUAUAAGUCCGUUGUGAAAGUCAAAGGCUCAACCUUUGAAAGCCGAUGGAUACUGUGGAGCUAGAGUACGGAAGAGGCGAGUGGAAUUCCUGGUGUAGCGGUGGAAUGCGCAGAUAUCAGGAGGAACACCAAUAGCGAAGGCAGCUCGCUGGGACGUUACUGACACUGAGGAGCGAAAGCGUGGGUAGCAAACAGG